UGUAUUGCCUUGCAAUGCCAUUGGAUACUAAAUGUGUAUAUAGAUAUGGCUAUAAGGCCAUGAACUCAUUCCACCAGCCAACUUUCCUGGAAGCGAAUCUCCUUGGUUCAUUGGACUGGAUAUAUCAACAUUAAAAAUGACACCAACAAGGAGAGUUUACUUCAGUAUGCAUGAUGUCAUUGAUGCUAUCCAAAAUGGAGAAAGUGAUGUUGACAUGGAAUCAGACACCAGUGAUUCGAGUGAUGAGCAGGUGGUUGAAAAUGUUGAGGAAGUGGAAAAAGAGAAUCAGAGACCCACUGAUUGUCCAACUAAUGAUGAUGAUGGUAAGGACAUCGAGCAAACCAACACAAGCCAACCAAACCACAACAUAUGCGCUAUCAAGUGAUAUGACAACAGGGCAGUCACACUUGUGUCAUCCUUUGCUGGCAUUGAUCCUGUGCAAAAGAUUCAACGCUGGAACAAA